GUUUUAGUAAUUUAAUAAAAAUAUUGGUCUUGUAAAUCAAAAAUGAGCAGUGCUCCUAAAACU
rnacentral:tRNA from 2 species